UAAUAUACAUAGAUAAAAGAAAGAGCUAAAUUUUUCACAUUCCUGAAGCAUAGACAUUAAAAACAACACCAAAAAUUAUGAGUUGGCAACACUUCAGUGACAAGCUCUACGCAUUUCAGCAACCCCUUCUAUUUCAUAUAUUUGAAAGAAAUACAUUUCAAAUUAUGGUUAGGUCCAAGAUGGUUAAUAAAUCUCAGUAACUAUUAAUCAGAAACAGUGGGGCUAGUGUGUUGUUGUAGCUGUCAAGGUCUGAUUUUAGAAAAA